rnacentral:rRNA from 1 species
GCUUAACACAUGCAAGUCGAGGGGCAGCAUGGUCUUAGCUUGCUAAGGCCGAUGGCGACCGGCGCACGGGUGAGUAACACGUAUCCAACCUGCCGUCUACUCUUGGACAGCCUUCUGAAAGGAAGAUUAAUACAAGAUGGCAUCAUGAGUCCGCAUGUUCACAUGAUUAAAGGUAUUCCGGUAGACGAUGGGGAUGCGUUCCAUUAGAUAGUAGGCGGGGUAACGGCCCACCUAGUCUUCGAUGGAUAGGGGUUCUGAGAGGAAGGUCCCCCACAUUGGAACUGAGACACGGUCCAAACUCCUACGGGAGGCAGCAGUGAGGAAUAUUGGUCAAUGGGCGAGAGCCUGAACCAGCCAAGUAGCGUGAAGGAUGACUGCCCUAUGGGUUGUAAACUUCUUUUAUAAAGGAAUAAAGUCGGGUAUGGAUACCCGUUUGCAUGUACUUUAUGAAUAAGGAUCGGCUAACUCCGUGCCAGCAGCCGCGGUAAUACGGAGGAUCCGAGCGUUAUCCGGAUUUAUUGGGUUUAAAGGGAGCGUAGAUGGAUGUUUAAGUCAGUUGUGAAAGUUUGCGGCUCAACCGUAAAAUUGCAGUUGAUACUGGAUAUCUUGAGUGCAGUUGAGGCAGGCGGAAUUCGUGGUGUAGCGGUGAAAUGCUUAGAUAUCACGAAGAACUCCGAUUGCGAAGGCAGCCUGCUAAGCUGCAACUGACAUUGAGGCUCGAAAGUGUGGGUAUCAAACAGGAUUAGAUACCCUGGUAGUCCACACGGUAAACGAUGAAUACUCGCUGUUUGCGAUAUACAGCAAGCGGCCAAGCGAAAGCGUUAAGUAUUCCACCCUGGGGAGUACGCCGGCAACGGUGAAACUCAAAGGAAUUGACGGGGGCCCGCACAAGCGGAGGAACAUGUGGUUUAAUUCGAUGAUACGCGAGGAACCUUACCCGGGCUUAAAUUGCAGAUGAAUUACGGUGAAAGCCGUAAGCCGCAAGGCAUCUGUGAAGGUGCUGCAUGGUUGUCGUCAGCUCGUGCCGUGAGGUGUCGGCUUAAGUGCCAUAACGAGCGCAACCCUUGUUGUCAGUUAUUAACAGGUUCCGCUGAGGACUCUGACAAGACUGCCAUCGUAAGAUGUGAGGAAGGUGGGGAUGACGUCAAAUCAGCACGGCCCUUACGUCCGGGGCUACACACGUGUUACAAUGGGGGGGUACAGAGGGCCGCUACCACGCGAGUGGAUGCCAAUCCCAAAAACCUCUCUCAGUUCGGACUGGAGUCUGCAACCCGACUCCACGAAGCUGGAUUCGCUAGUAAUCGCGCAUCAGCCACGGCGCGGUGAAUACGUUCCCGGGCCUUGUACACACCGCCCGUCAAGCCAUGGGAGCCGGGGGUACCUGAAGUGCGUAACCGAGAGGAGCGCCCUAGGGUAAAACUGGUGACUGGGGCUAAGU